GAAUCAUUUAAUUGUACCAUGGCAAAUGUUGAAAUUGGAGAAUAUCCUAAGAAUGAAGAUACGAUUUUGAAUGCUUGUAUGAGAAGAGAUGCAAUCCAGCAAGAACAGUGUCCUUCAGCAGAAAGCAAUGCUAUUGAUAAGCCUUUAUGCACAGACACCCUCUAUGACCUUCUGCUCAAAUUUCAAAAAGUUAUCAAAACUUUCAACAUGCCAGAGCUGUUCGAUGCUAUAAAUCAUUUGAUGAAGGCUUUGAAACCUAGCCACAGAUCUACAAAACCAACACCAAGUCAUCUUUUAAAUAAACAAUAUGAAACUGAGAGGAAGGAAUGUGAGCUUCUUCUGAUUUUGGAACAGCUAGCUGAGUCGAUCCACAGGAUCUUGAANCACCUGAAAUAUGAACACAAUCUUUAAUUCCCUUUAAAAACAAUGUAUAGAAUAAUAUUUAUGAAUAAUGUGUAGAGUAAAAAAACAGAAUUAUAGAGUGUAGCAUUUUAAGUAACCUUGUCUUAGAAUUGUGCCUUGAAAUGGAAUUAGCAGCAUCCUUCGUGGAUUAUCCACCAUAACUUGCUGGCUAUAAAGAGCUAAAGUGAACAUCAUGUACUGUACCAAAUAGACAUGCUAAAAUGGAAAGGCUUCAUUAUGUAUUUCUCAGGAAAAAGAAAAUGACAUUGAGAAUAUUCUUGUAGGAAAAAUGUCUCCAGAUGAAAUUUUGUGGAUAGCAUUUGGCUAUAUAUUUGACAGUCAUUGGCUAUAUAUUUGACAGUCAGAUAGUCAUUGUUGCCCAUAGCUAAGACAGCAAGAACCAGCUCUUGGACAAGGUCAGGAUUAUAAAUGUAGAUAUAUAAUCCCAUACUUUCAAAGAUACAGUCAGUAGUGCUGAGACUGAAACCACAGCUCAUCGGCUCAGUCCAGCAGUAAACAGCCAAAGGAAUAAGAUGUAGGAACUUAAUAAAAGAUACUGUCUGCAGAGAAUUCCUUUGCCA
rnacentral:lncRNA from 1 species